CACGAGGACUUUCUCGAGAGCCCUGGAGAGCAGCUCUAGUGGCAUCGGGGCCUGAAACCCCAGGCUUGGCUUGUUUGAUGUUUAGCAUCCCAAAGCGGCUCCCCACCCCCGCCCCAGCCUGGGAACCCGGAGCUGUGGGGCCAAGGAGAAGGGAAAGCAGUUCUCUCAGCUGACUGGCGGUGGACUGGGCUGGGCUCAGAGAAGAGGCGAAAACAACAGGACAGAGAUGCCCUGAGCAGGGAAGGAAGGGGUCCUGAGAUACUGUGAUCACCUAUAAGGACACAGCUGGGGUCCUCAAGGCCAGGGGGAAAGAUAGAUCCCAGCUUGCGGGCACACCCUGGGGGGGGGGGGGAAUAGCCCGGUGGAAAUAGCUUGGGGCCCGCAUGAGCAAGGUAAGCUGAGUCUCGGUCCAGUUAAGCGAGCAUCCGGACAGUGUCCAAACCUUCGGGCGGUCAGGGCCUCGAGGAGACAGCGCUUUGGAGGAGACAAGCUCAGGACUUGGCCUUUCGUAGGGAAAAACUUGCUUGGGAGUCUUCCAAGAGAUUGUAAAUGCUUCUGAGUCUGGACCUGGAAGCUCCAGUGACGAUGCUUGGAUGUGGCUUCAUAGUCUUUGAUUUUGAAAGCCCAGGAAGAUUCACAGACUUACAGAGGCCAUAUAACCUCCGAGCUGCCUGGAGUCUGGGCGGCGGUGAGCGCUGCGGAGCUGUCGCAAGGAAAGCAUGGGUCUCUUCUCAGGCGAUCCCAGACAAGAGGAAAUGAGAGAGAGGUUUUCUGAGUUCCAACUCAUUAGGGACCAGGUUGAAACAAGCUGCUAUUUGGUAUACCUGGGGCACUGUGAAAUCAAAAUACAUUUCUCUCAAAUAUCAGUGCUCUGUAUGUGAGGCUACAACAUGUAGGAGUGCAUCAUGAAGGCGUUCUACAGGCAAAAUAAAGCUGAGAAGAUCCUCUGGGUUGGGAGGAGAGACCCCUUUCUCAUAGUCUCAUUUCGGAAGUGGCUUGGGAACCUAAAAUGAGCUAUCAUCACCAAAGGCUGUUUGCUUUAGUCAUGUAUCUCCUAGUGAUGGUGGAGGUUCCUGGGGUUUGUACCUACAAAACACUGCAGCGGAACCAUUACUGUGCUGUAGAGGCAUGCAGGAGUCCCAAGGCAAAUCAAAACGUUUUUUAAUGUAUGACAUGUGUGAAGUUGAUGAAAAUUUAUGACUUCUCUCCAUCAUGGCUGUUUCAGCUUAAGUCAUCAGAGAAAGAUUUACUCUCCAUCUCAGCGACAGGGUCCAUUUGUGACCCUUAGCAACUCACCCUUCAGACCACCAGCCUCAGGACAAAUACUUUAGUUUCGAUAAUCAUUCACAGAUAAUAAUAAAAAGACACAGGACAGAGAUGAACUGAAUGGCGCCAAUGAUCAGGAUGUGAAGUCUACAUCAGAACCAGUCUAUCUGGAGUACUCUCUUCUUUAGCAAAGCAGGUAUUUGUAUAAUGUGGGAUUGUCUUUUCUUGGUCACUUCUCCCUAACCUUACAAAAUAUGAUACAUUUCUUCCAUUAUUUCAAGUGAAUUGCUUUGGAGCCUUUGCAGGAAGCAACAGAGGAACUAAAUAAAAUAUACUUUAAAAGAUGUGUUCUGGUGUUCCAGGCGGUGGUGGCUCACACCCUUAAUCCCAGCACUCAGGAUCCUCCCUCGGUCUUCCUCUGUCUCUGAACAGGUUCUACUGAAGGGUGCACUCACCCUCUCCCCCUCCUUGACUUGAACCCUAAGUAUGUUCUAGUCUCAGUCCCCAUGGCUUCAUCAGGAAGGAACGCUCUAGGUCUCCUCUCCACCUUGUCAUUCAGCCUCUGUGUAUAAUUAACCUAGAGAUUUACCUGACAAUGACCCAGUGCCUGAAUCGAAGAGUUAGCCUUAUCUGUGAAACUGCCAUUCCCUAUUCAAUACUUUUAUCUUUAUCAGUCUCAUUUUCAUCUUGAAAUAAAAAUUCAAAAAUGCCUCAAUCUGCACCAAAACCUAGCCCCUAAGUUUAAGGUUAUGCCUGUGCUAUCAAAGUUAUACUUACAGUAGGACAUGUAGUUUUUAUUGAGUAUUAACAUCCUAGGCACUAUGGUGGGAACUGUGGGUUGCUAUCCCUUUGGGGGUCCAACGACCCUUUCACAGGGGUCAUCUAAGACCAAGUGAAAAUACGAUAUUUACAUUAUGAUUAAUAACUUGCAAAAUUACAGUUAGAAGUAGCAACAAAAAUAAUUUUGUGGUUGGGGGCAUCACUACAACAUGAGGAACUGUAUUAAAGGGCUACAGCAUUGGUAUGGUUGAGAACCACUGUUCUAGAAGCUUAUAAAAUCACAAGGAGACAGCAAACAGUAACGAAAAAACCAAAUGUAGGCCAUAUUUAGGUAAGUGUUAAAAAUAACCAAAUUAAAAUCCUACGAAAACUCAAUUCUGGAAACAUUCUACAGCUAUACCUGUGCGUGAACAAAAGGCAAAUUGCUCAAUGCAGCAUUGUAUGUAUGGUAAGAGUUAAGGGACCUUUUGGUUAUCGACAAGGACAACCUGUCAAUUAGGAGAUGCCCUCCAUGGAGUAACAUUGAGUGACCCAGGAUAAAUUUCACAUGAAAAAAGCAAAUGAUGGGCUGGGUGGUGGUGCACACCUUUAAUCCCAGCAUUCAGAGGCAGAGGCAGGCAAAUCUUUGUGAGUUUGAGGCCAGCCUGGUCUACAGAACAAGUUUCAGGACAGCUAAGACUACACAGAGAAACACUGUCUUGAAACAGAAACAAAAACAAAAAUCUCAAACAAUGGAACAUGUAUAACAUAUGCUCUCCUCUGCAGAAAAAACUGUAAAAUAAUGUGUAUUAAUGUCUAGAUUUUUUUCUCUUUAGUAAGAAAGAGUGAGCAAAAGACAGGAUUCCAUUUCACUCUAGGAGUGGCUUUCAUGUUCAUCUCAUUUUUCUGCUUGCAUCAAGGGGACUUGUCAAGUUAGUCUGAGCAAGUACACUUUAUGUAGUUACCUUGGUGGCAAAACUGCUUAGUGAUACAUUUCUCAGAAAUAAUCUCUAACCUAUGAUUCCCUCUUCCCCCUAUCCUACCCCCCACUCAAUAGGUUAGAAGACAGAUCAGGCACCAGUGUGACCUCUAGUGAUCUAAAGGGAUGACACCAACUGGCAAGCUAAGCAAUAGU